GUGGAAUGCACUUCCACUCAUGCACAUAACGUCUGCUGACAACAAACCUGACCUCCUGAGGAAUCUGGUGCCUUUCUUCCCCCCUCCUUACAUCUCAGAGAACUGCAACAAUCGGGUAAACAUGAAGCCCAAGUCUCUUCCAUCCAGGCUGUUUCAGAGAGAUUCACCUGCAACAGCAUCAGGCAAGAGUCCCAGCAGAAGUGCAGCAAAGUAUGAGCGGCAUGUGGACUGCGUUGAUCACCCAGAGCUGCUGGAUCCAUCUUUGUCCAACGACGGGCAGCAAACAGCUGACAGCAACAGGCAACACGAGAAGUGCCACAGAGAAACACUUUUCGCCUUCCUGCCAGAGAGGUACGAGCCACUGGUGGAUGAUGAGGCGAAAGCCAAGGCAAAAGAAGAGAAGAAGAAAAAGAAGAAGGAAAACUACAAAAAAGUCAAGAAGAAUGUCGGCAAGGCGCUGCGUUCCACAUGGAAGUGUUUGAUGCUUGGUCUCUACAGCUUUGCUCUCGGAUACUCCACUCCCAUCACGGUGGCUGCUACUUUUGUCCCUGACUUUCACCCGAGCAGGAACAGGACCUGAUUCGAGCUCUGUCGAUCUCCUCCACUUUGUUUUCAUACUAUAUAUACCAGUAACUCGCAGACUCUUACCAAAGACUUUAAAAAUGUGAAUAAUGAUUGUGCAAUUCAGAUUACAUUUUCAAAUUCCCUGCUUUUGCAGAUCUUACAAGAUCUACUGCAUGGUCAUAUUUGCAGAAAUAUGCAAGAUCAUAAAAUCUUAUUAAGUAUUAGGUUAAAUACUGAAAACACUUGUUUUUAAAUCAAGUGUCUGCAUGUGUUCAAAGGGAUUAUGUGGGCAUGUGGAAACUAUAGCAGGGCAGCAAUAACAGGAAUAUUCACCGUAGCUGCAGGUGAGGUGAGUCAAGCCAGAGACCUCUUUAAGGGAUUUGCAAGCAGGAAAGACUCAACAAGGAGGUGAUUAUCAGUAAUACUGGAAGAGCAAGUAAACAGAAAGGAACCGGCCCAGUCCUUUUCUGGGUGGCACAACUUAGGUGCUUUUUGGUGUACAAAUUCUGCUGUGAAACUAAACUUAACAAACACAAAAUGAAAUAAGACUGAAACCAAAAAUGAAAACUAACAAAAUAAAUAUUUUUUUUACUUUCAAAACUAGUAGUAAUAGUUUUAAUAGUUAAAAUCUUUUUUGCAAAUUUGAGAACACAAGUAUGAGGAGGUUUUUCAUUUUGGGUGUUUUGGUGGGUGGUGGGCGGCUACAUGACUUUUACGGUCAAAAGCCUUUACAAAAACAGAAAGCUAACUAAAUAAGAUACAAUUUUAAAAAAACAACAACAAAUUAAAUAAACUAAUAUAAAUUAAAAAACAAAAAUAGAACUUUGCUGUAAAUACUAUAAUGUGACGCCCAAGAUUUGAAGAAUUCUCUGCUUGGAACAAAAUAUUCUGACUUUUAAGAUAUUUUUAAAGAUGUGUGUAGAUUUGAUCAUUUGUAAAUUAUUAAUUAUUCAUGAUGUUUGUACUUUUGAUUAAAAUAAAGCAUUACUAGGAAUGCAUCUGAAGAGAAAUUGACGUUUUUAUUAUUAUUACUACUAUUAUUAGAGUGAACUCAUUUUAACAAACAUAACACAUUCACGUGUUGAUUUAAUAAUUCAUGAAUAACAACUUUGGC
ensembl:lncRNA